rnacentral:rRNA from 1 species
UUGUGGUCAAGCAAACAAGGGCUUAUGGUGGAUACCUAGGCACACAGAGGCGAAGAAGGACGUCGCGACCGACGAUACGCUCCGGGGAGCUGGAAGCAAGCCGAGAUCCGGAGAUGUCCGAAUGGGGCAACCCCAAGAACAGCCUGUUGAAUAUAUAGACAGGCAUGAGCCAACCCAGUGAACUGAAACAUCUUAGUAGCUGGAGGAAAAGAAAUCAAAAAGAGAUUCCCCUAGUAGCGGCGAGCGAAGCGGGAAGAGCCUAAACCAACUGUUAUUACAGUUGGGGUUGUGGGACAGCGAUAUGGAAUCUGUACUGCUAGACGAAGUCAUUGAAUGUGGCACCCGAGAAGGUGAAAGUCCUGUAGUCGAAAGUGGAAAGAUACUAGCUGUAUCCCGAGUAGCAUGGGGCACGUGAAAUCCCGUGUGAAUCCGCGAGAACCAUCUCGUAAGGCUAAAUACUCCUGUGUGACCGAUAGUGAACCAGUACCGCGAGGGAAAGGUGAAAAGAACCCCGGAAGGGGAGUGAAAUAGAACAUGAAACCGUAAGCCUACAAGCAAUGGGAGGACGAUUCAACGUCUGACCGUGUGCCUGUUGAAGAAUGAGCCGGCGACUUACAGGUCGUGGCAGGUUAAGGUGAAAAGCCCGAGCCAAAGCGAAAGCGAGUCCAAAAAGGGCGAAUAUUGUCACGAGUUGUAGACCCGAACCCGGGUGAUCUAACCAUGUCCAGGAUGAAGCUUGGGUAACACCAAGUGGAGGUCCGAACCGACCGAUGUUGAAAAAUCGGCGGAUGAGGUGUGGUUAGGGGUGAAAUGCCAAUCGAACCCGGAGCUAGCUGGUUCUCCCCGAAAUGUGUUGAGGCGCAGCGGUGAUGGUUUAAAUCUGGGGGUAAAGCACUGUUUCGGUGCGGGCUGCGAGAGCGGUACCAAAUCGAGACAAACUCUGAAUACCAGAAGUACACAUCACCAGUGAGACGGUGGGGGAUAAGCUUCAUCGUCAAGAGGGAAACAGCCCAGACCACCAGCUAAGGCCCCCAAAUGGUCACUCAGUGAUUAAGGAGGUGGAAUUGCUAAGACAACCAGGAGGUUUGCCUAGAAGCAGCCAUCCUUGAAAGAGUGCGUAAUAGCUCACUGGUCAAGCGAUUCUGCGCCGAAAAUGAACGGGGCUAAGUGACCUGCCGAAGCUGUGGGAUAUGUAAUUUAUGUAUCGGUAGGGGAGCGUUCCCUAUGGUGAGAAGCACUAGCGGCAAGCAGGUGUGGACUGUAGGGAAGUGAGAAUGUCGGCUUGAGUAGCGCAAACUAGGGUAAGAAUCCCUAGCCCCGAAACCCUAAGGGUUCCUCCGGAAGGCUCGUCCACGGAGGGUUAGUCAGGACCUAAGGCGAGGCUGAAAAGCGUAGUCGAUGGACAACGGGUCAAUAUUCCCGUACUGAAGCGGAUUUGUGCAGAGGGACGGAGAAGGCUUACAUCAGCCGGCGAUUGGUAGUGCCGGUUUAAGCCAUCGAGGUGUUGAGGUCUGGAGAAAACAGACUGAGCCAAGAGGUGAGUACGAGAGUCUACGGAUUCGAAGUGAUAGAAGUCAAGCUUCCUAGAAAAGCUCGGUGGCACGUUAAAUCCGUUUUACCUGUACCCGAAACCGACACAGGUGGGGUGGUAGAGAAUACCGAGGGGCGCGAGAUAACUCUCUCUAAGGAACUCGGCAAAAUGGCCCCGUAACUUCGGGAGAAGGGGUGCCCUCGUAAAAGAGGGUCGCAGUGAAGAGUCCCAGGCGACUGUUUACCAAAAACACAGGUCUCCGCUAAGAAGUAAUUCGACGUAUGGGGGCUGACGCCUGCCCAGUGCCGGAAGGUUAAGGAAGUUGGUUAGCUCUUCGGAGCGAAGCUGACGACCGAAGCCCCGGUGAACGGCGGCCGUAACUAUAACGGUCCUAAGGUAGCGAAAUUCCUUGUCGGGUAAGUUCCGACCCGCACGAAAGGCGUAACGAUCUGGGAGCUGUCUCGGAGAGAGGCUCGGCGAAAUAGGAUUGUCUGUGAAGAUACGGACUACCUGCACUUGGACAGAAAGACCCUAUGAAGCUUUACUGUAGCCUGGAAUUGGGUCCGGGCUUCGCUUGCGCAGGAUAGGUGGGAGGCGUUGAACUUGACCUUGUGGGGUCAAGGGAGCCAAUGGUGAGAUACCACUCUAGCGAGGCUAGGAUUCUAACCUUGAACCGUAAUCCGGUCAAGGAACCGUUUCAGGUGGGCAGUUUGACUGGGGCGGUCGCCUCCUAAAAGGUAACGGAGGCGCGCAAAGGUUCCCUCAGGCUGGUUGGAAAUCAGCCAAAGAGUGUAAAGGCAAAAGGGAGCUUGACUGCAAGAGGGACAACUCAAGCAGGGACGAAAGUCGGCCUUAGUGAUCCGACGGCACUGCAUGGAAGGGCCGUCGCUCAACGGAUAAAAGUUACUCUAGGGAUAACAGGCUGAUCUCCCCCAAGAGUCCACAUCGACGGGGAGGUUUGGCACCUCGAUGUCGGCUCAUCGCAACCUGGGGCGGAAGUACGUCCCAAGGGUUGGGCUGUUCGCCCAUUAAAGCGGUACGUGAGCUGGGUUCAGAACGUCGUGAGACAGUUCGGUCCAUAUCCGGUGCAGGCGCAAGAGCAUUGAGAGGAGCCUUCCUUAGUACGAGAGGACCGGGAAGGACGCACCGCUGGUGUACCAGUUAUCGUGCCAACGGUAAACGCUGGGUAGCCAUGUGCGGAGCGGAUAACCGCUGAAAGCAUCUAAGUGGGAAGCCCACCUCAAGAUGAGUGCUCUCACCACUUUCAAGUGGGUAAGGUCACGGGCAGAACACCCGUUAAUCGGCGCUAGGUGGAAGGGCAGUAAUGUCUGUAGCCGAGGCGUGCGAACCGACCGAGGGCUUGACCUCA